rnacentral:rRNA from 1 species
AGUGAACGCUGGCGGUAGGCCUAACACAUGCAAGUCGAACGGCAGCACAGAGGAGCUUGCUCCUUGGGUGGCGAGUGGCGGACGGGUGAGGAAUACAUCGGAAUCUACUCUGUCGUGGGGGAUAACGUAGGGAAACUUACGCUAAUACCGCAUACGACCUACGGGUGAAAGCAGGGGACCUUCGGGCCUUGCGCGAUUGAAUGAGCCGAUGUCGGAUUAGCUAGUUGGCGGGGUAAAGGCCCACCAAGGCGACGAUCCGUAGCUGGUCUGAGAGGAUGAUCAGCCACACUGGAACUGAGACACGGUACAGACUCCUACGGGAGGCAGCAGUGGGGAAUAUUGGACAAUGGGCGCAAGCCUGAUCCAGCCAUACCGCGUGGGUGAAGAAGGCCUUCGGGUUGUAAAGCCCUUUUGUUGGGAAAGAAAUCCAGCUGGCUAAUACCCGGUUGGGAUGACGGUACCCAAAGAAUAAGCACCGGCUAACUUCGUGCCAGCAGCCGCCGUA